rnacentral:rRNA from 1 species
GAGUUGUUUGGGAAUGCAGCUCAAAGUGGGUGGUAAACUCCAUCUAAAGCUAAAUACUGGUGAGAGACCGAUAGCGAACAAGUACUGUGAAGGAAAGGUGAAAAGAACUUUGAAAAGAGAGUGAAAUAGUAUGUGAAAUUGUUGAUAAGGAAGGAAAUGAGUGGAGAGUGGACGAGGUUUCAGUGCCCCCUCGGGGGUACGUACUGCCAACUCCGAGUCAACGUCAGCGAGACGGGGUGUAUAAACGGGUGUCUUCGGACUCUCACCUACUCCCCCCCACUGCCGUCGUCGACAUAAUCCACCCAUUUCACCCGUCUUGAAACACGGACCAAGGAGUCUAAUGGAUAUGUGAGUGUUAGGGUGGCAAACCCCAGCGCGCAAUGAAAGUGAAUGAUUCGUUCAGAAUCGACCGAACUUGAUUUUUAUGACAGUUUUGAGUAAACACAUCCAUUGGGACCCGAAAGAUGGUGAACUAUGCCUGAAUAGGGUGAAGUCAGAGGAAACUCUGAUGGAGGCUCGUAGCGGUUCUGACGUGCAAAUCGAUCGUAGAAUUUGGGUAUAGGGGCGAAAGACUAAUCGAACCAUCUAGUAGCUGGUUCCUGC